AUUGAACGCUGGCGGCAGGCCUAACACAUGCAAGUCGAACGGUAACAGGAAGAAGCUUGCUUCUUUGCUGACGAGUGGCGGACGGGUGAGUAAUGUCUGGGAAACUGCCUGAUGGAGGGGGAUAACUACUGGAAACGGUAGCUAAUACCGCAUAACGUCGCAAGACCAAAGAGGGGGACCUUCGGGCCUCUUGCCAUCAGAUGUGCCCAGAUGGGAUUAGCUAGUAGGUGGGGUAACGGCUCACCUAGGCGACGAUCCCUAGCUGGUCUGAGAGGAUGACCAGCCACACUGGAACUGAGACACGGUCCAGACUCCUACGGGAGGCAGCAGCGGGGAAUAUUGCACAAUGGGCGCAAGCCUGAUGCAGCCAUGCCGCGUGUAUGAAGAAGGCCUUCGGGUUGUAAAGUACUUUCAGCGGGGAGGAAGGGAGUAAAGUUAAUACCUUUGCUCAUUGACGUUACCCGCAGAAGAAGCACCGGCUAACUCCGUGCCAGCAGCCGCCGUAA
rnacentral:rRNA from 1 species